CGAAAAGUUGUCGUCCGGACGAUUCUUCAAACCCAACCUGAACGACGCUAGAUCAACGUCUGGACAAAACGCCCGAUGAAACUGAACGCUUCUGGGUAAAAAGUUGUCGUCCGGACGUUCAUCCUGAACGCACCUCUGAGAGUUUUUCGAACAAACCUCUGGAGCGGCAAUGGGAUCUCCUAUCAUUGCAAACAUCUUUAUGGAACAUUUUGAGAAUGAAGUUUGAAAAGCGCACAUCUGAAACCAUCUACAUGAUUUCGGAAGACCGGACAUGAACUGUCAGCCGCUGAAUGGUUUGCACCAACAUACCCAUUUCUGGAACAGUUAAUGCAGUUUAAUCGCUGGCGACACAUCUUUCAGCGGGAUAGUUUUUGCCUUAACAUUUGGGACACACGGCGCUUCUAGCUCUACCUCUGCACUAAGCGAGGACAUGGCCGAAGCGUUGGUAAUUUGUACACCUACGUACUCUUUGAAUAAAUGGGGAAAAGAAAAUUCUUUUGCCUAGGUAUAAGGCAGAGA